GGAGUUUGGACCGUGUCUCAGUUCCAAUGUGGGGGACCGUUCCUCUCAGAACCCCUAACCAUCGUCGGCACGGUGGGCCGUUACCCCGCCGUCUACCUAAUGGUACGCGAGCCAAUCCGUAUGCAAUAAAUCUUUCAAUAAACUCCCAUGCGAGAAUUUAUAUUACGGGGGUAUU
rnacentral:rRNA from 1 species